UUGGAUGUGCCUUGGGCAGCCUGGGCUGGUGGGAGGUGUCCCUGCCCAUGGCAGAGGUGGAACUGGAUGGGCUUUAUGGUCCCUUCCAACCCAAACUAUGAUUCUGUGAUGUGGAGGACUAAGAAAGUGGAGCCGGUGAUGUUAUAUUGACUCCACUGAUACUAUCCUCCUAAAUUAAAUGGUGGAAGAACAAGGCCUGCCUGUGAGAUAAAGUCAGGACCUACUUCCUCUGCCUACACUGUUUUCUACUGCUCCUUCUAAUUGCCACUAAAAGUCAGGUGUUUCUGCAGGAAACGGCCCUUUGUUCCUGGCUUCAGGACUGGGUGAGGAGGAACGCUGGAUGUACUGAAGGAUUAUGGUAUUUCUGUUGCUGCAUUAGCUGUCCUGUACCUGGCGAUGGCCUCUGAGGUGUGUUCUGACGAGCAGGCUGCUGCGUACCCAGCCAUCAGGCCUGCGUUCUCCAGCAGAUUCAUCAAGCUGACAGCAUAACGGCGGAGCCGUUUGGUGCCCGUAGAGUCCCACUCCAAAAGUGCUGCAGCACCUUGCACUUGGCUCAGAAAAUCUCUCCUUGCAGCACUCCUGCAAGAGGGUUGUGAAGUCCUGGGGACUCCCAGGGCAGGUCAUGAGCUGAAAAAUAUUCUGGAUUGGGUUCUUCUGUGAACUGAGGUGAAUCCUGGCAUCAGAAUGCAGAUAUCUACUUGAAAAGUGUGACUCUCCGUUUUUGGCAGAUAAAGGUAAAACACAUUCCAGUGGGUGGAAGUUGGACCCUGAAUCAAGGCAUACGUUUUUAAGCAAAGAUUUUUCUUUAAAAAACAGUGUUAAAACAAGUUGGGGAGUGCUAUCUCACCCCUUCAUUCCCUGGCAGAGGAGCUGCUGUUCUCCAGUGUGGCCUCACCCGUGUCAGCAGGACUCGCAUAGCAUUGGCAGUGGCUGCUGUCUGGGGCACCUGUUUCUGCUGGACACAAGUUGUUGUGCUCACUGCAAGAGAGAGCAACUUUAAGUCCCUGCUCUGCCUUAGGGAGGUCUGACAAAGUAACCAUAACAACCUUUUCUGCCCUAGAAAUGUCUGAAUUCCUGGCAGGCGAAGUGGUCACGCUGUAUUUGCAUAGCUGAGCGUCACUAAACCCAUCUUCUUUUGAGGCUUUCAAAACAAACAAACCCAAGAGAAGAUGGUAGUGAUCACUGCUGUAAGAACAUAUUCAGCUCCUGGUUUUGUGGUUUCUGCAAAGCCUGUUUUGGGGAGACUUUUUAAGCCAUUUGGGAAAGAACAGACAGGCUUUUGGCAUGUGUUUCUAUUGUCAAAUCUCUUUAGUUCUGGCUUGGCUCUGUUUAUUUGUAGGGACUCUGUAUAUUGUGGAGGACACUUUCUGUGCCUGACUAUGCCCUAGAAUGGAAACUUGAACCAAUGAGUUUUGUAAUGAAUGUGAAUAAAUCUGUGGAAAAGCUUCUCUGUUGAUGACUCUUGAUUGAAUUUGGGUAGUUUUGACAUGCACAAAUGAGGCUCUUUAGAGCCAGUCAAGCCUGCUUGACAGGCAGUGCCUGUCGUGAUUGUCUGGAAAUGCAGCCUAACCAAGGACACUGCAGCCGAGUGCUGGGUCAGAGUACUUCCAGCUCCCCCUGGACAUGCAAAACCUCAAGGAUGCAGCAUCAGGGGUGAGAAGUCUUCAGUGCUGAGGGGAAGAUCAGAUCUUUGUGAAGGAUUUACC